GGAGAUUAAAGAUUUAUCGGUGAUGGGUGGGGAUGCGUCUGAUUAGCUUGUUGGCGGGGUAACGGCCCACCAAGGCAACGAUCAGUAGGGGUUCUGAGAGGAAGGUCCCCCACAUUGGAACUGAGACACGGUCCAAACUCCUACGGGAGGCAGCAGUGAGGAAUAUUGGUCAAUGGGCGAGAGCCCGAACCAGCCAAGUAGCGUGCAGGAAGACGGCCCUAUGGGUUGUAAACUGCUUUUAUAAGGGAAUAAAGUGAGUCUCGUGAGACUUUUUGCAUGUACCUUAUGAAUAAGGACCGGCUAAUUCCGUGCCAGCAGCCGCGGUAAUACGGAAGGUCCGGGCGUUAUCCGGAUUUAUUGGGUUUAAAGGGAGCGUAGGCCGGAGAUUAAGCGUGUUGUGAAAUGUAGACGCUCAACGUCUGCACUGCAGCGCGAACUGGUUUCCUUGAGUACACACAAAGUGGGCGGAAUUCGUGGUGUAGCGGUGAAAUGCUUAGAUAUCACAAAGAACUCCGAUUGCGAAGGCAGCUCACUGGAGCGCAACUGACGCUGAAGCUCGAAAGUGCGGGUAUCGAACAGGAUUAGAUACCCUGGUAGUCCGCACGGUAAACGAUGGAUGCCCGCUGUUGGUCUGAACAGGUCAGCGGCCAAGCGAAAGCAUUAAGCAUCCCACCUGGGGAGUACGCCGGCAACGGUGAAACUCAAAGGAAUUGACGGGGGCCCGCACAAGCGGAGGAACAUGUGGUUUAAUUCGAUGAUACGCGAGGAACCUUACCCGGGCUUGAAUUGCAGAGGAAGGAUUUGGAGACAACGACGCCCUUCGGGGUCUCUGUGAAGGUGCUGCAUGGUUGUCGUCAGCUCGUGCCGUGAGGUGUCGGCUUAAGUGCCAUAACGAGCGCAACCCCUCUCCUUAGUUGCCAUCAGGUUAAGCUGGGCACUCUGGGGACACUGCCACCGUAAGGUGUGAGGAAGGUGGGGAUGACGUCAAAUCAGCACGGCCCUUACGUCCGGGGCUACACACGUGUUACAAUGGCAGGUACAGAGAGACGGUUGUACGUAAGUACGAUCAAAUCCUUAAAGCCUGUCUCAGUUCGGACUGGGGUCUGCAACCCGACCCCACGAAGCUGGAUUCGCUAGUAAUCGCGCAUCAGCCAUGGCGCGGUGAAUACGUUCCCGGGCCUUGUACACACCGCCCGUCAAGCCAUGAAAGCCGGGGGCGC
rnacentral:rRNA from 1 species